GUACUCGAGGAGAUGUUUCAAGUGUUGGGUUCGGGAAACAUUUCCGAUCUUUUUCCUCUUCUUACUCGCUUUGACUUACAGGGACUUGAAUCCAAAGCAAAAAAGGUUACAGUUCGAUUGGAUAAGAUUUUCGAGUCAUUAUUGAGACCUGGUCAGAGUGGACAGGACAGGAAUGAGGGGAAGUCGAGCAAAGAUUUUCUGCAAACCUUGUUGGAGCUUCAGCAGCAAGGAGAUUAUUCCUUAUCCAUGGACCAAAUUAAGGCCUUGUUUAUGGUAAAUAUCUUAUCAACUUGCUUUGAACUAUUUUAAGCGUUUUCAUUUUUUGAAUUUGAAUUGAAUUGUCAACACUCAACAGGAUGUUGCUGUUGGAAGUACGGAUACAACAGCAAUCACUGUAGAGUGGGCGAUGUCAGAGCUGCUGCAGAAACCGGAGGUAAUGAGAAAAGCCCGCAACGAACUGGAGCAAGUGGUGGCACCUGACAGUGUUGUGGAAGAGUUUCAUCUUGCCAAAUUGCCUUACUUGGAAGCAAUUGUAAAAGAGACAUUAAGAUUGCAUCCACCCGCGCCGCUUCUAACCUCGCGAAGGCCUAGUGCAACUAGCAACUUGUCUGGGUAUACAAUUCCCAAGGGCUCAACAAUUUUCAUCAACGCAUGGGCGAUACAGAGGAAUCCUGAGGUAUGGGAAAAUCCCCAAGAUUUUCAACCUGAUAGGUUCUUGGAAGAUGUCAAAAUAGGUGAUUUUCGAGGAAACAAUUUCAAUUAUCUUCCAUUUGGUUCGGGGAGGAGGAUUUGUCCUGGAAUUCCUCUAGCAGAGAAGAUUGUCCCUCAUGUAUUAGCCAACCUAUUGCAUCUUUUUGAGUGGAGUUUGCCUGAGGGAACAGAGUUUGAUCUUUCCGAUAAGCUUUUAAUGGCACUGAAAAAGUCGGAGCCACUUGUGGUCAUCCCAACUCCAAGAUCACUCUCUGCUUUAGAGCAUUGCAAUUAAUCACUGUUGUUUUAGAUUUCAAACAAGUAUUGUGCCAUAUUCUUGCUUUUGUACUGGAAGAAAGCAAAAACUUUGUUUUAUAGACCGCUAAUAAUUUGCUUUCUACCAUAAACGACGUUUGUUGUGCUUGUACAUGAUUUCAAGAUUUAAUGUACUCUUAUGUUAUUGUGGCUUUGCCUUUCACCAUUCUUCAUGAAGCCGUAAUAGGGACAUCUACGCGUGAGCAGGACAAGCUCAUCAAAUCUGAAAGAUUUGUUUUGUCUGGUAACCUCAAACCAAGAAUUUUCUUAAACCAAAAUUGCUUUGAGGUGUCUGCUUGGCUAUUUUAGGUUUUGAUCUUCCUCCCCGCCCCACUUACGUAGCAUAAGUCUGUUAUAUGCUUAUGAAGUUUAUUAAUAGUGUUCAAACCUCUACUUUCACGCGUUAUUAAUACUUCAUUACUAUCACUUCAUACUAAAUAACCCAAAAGACAGAGAUGUAGGAUCAAUUGACUGGCUCAAAAUACAAAGAUACAGGGAUCAAAAUAAUGUAACUUGCAUUCAUUCAAGAGUUGCUCCAAGUAAGCCAAGUAUAAUUUGGUUGUCAAAUAUUCUUGGAUUAUGGAGAACAAUUCUUUGUCGAUGUAAGUUGGUUAAAAAUGUAACUUAACCACUACUAAGGAAUCUUUUGUUUCUGAUCAUGAUGAUUAACUUGAAAAAGAGAAAGAAAAAGAAAGGAAAUCCCACGUCGGAUCAUCCAAUUAUAGAACAACAUAUGCUAAGAUCCAGUAUGUUCGAAUGGAUCAUCUCUAAGUCAUUUCGGUCAACAGCUGCAUUUCCUGCCACUGAUAUCAACUUUUCCUUAGUAAUAAUUUUAUUUAAGAAUGUAUAAUUUUUUUUUGGGUCCGCUUAUAUUGGAAUCGGAUAAAGCAUCCAUUCAUAACUAUACGAUCAAAGUUAUAAUAAAUUUUUUAUUAUUUAUCACUUUACAUAUGUGGUUAAAAUUUAUACUUUAUCUUAGAACAGCUUCAAAAUAGCCAUAGCUUUUAUUUUUUUGUGGAAUGUGUGUUGCGAAGUGUUGGCUGAAAGGUGAAUUCAAACACCUUGACCAGCAAACGACAGCGUUUCCAGUAUUGUUCAGAGCCGUAAGUAGCUCACGUGAGAAGCACAGCCAGUCCUUAAUCCGAAACGGCAACAUGUGAGAUCGUUUUGAAUAUACUCAACUUAAGUAAGAUCACGAGUUGUUAAGUAAGGUGGCGUUUGUUUUUUAACUUAAUGACUUAAAGUGACUUAACUUAAUUAAUUAAGUUAAUUAGAGAUGUUUGUUUUUAUAACUUAAAGUGACUUUUUAGAUAAUUUUGACUUAAUAAAAUAAGCCAAUUUUUUUGGCUUUUUACUUAAUAGAGACAUCUGAAUUAAGUCAAUUACUUUCUAAUGUCAAAAAUAUCCCUACUUUAUAAUUUAUUUUUCAUAUCUAUCCCAAAAUUCACCCAUAGAUAUUUACCCCAUAUAAUAAUCUCAUCAUUAUUUUUUUAGCCGUCAUGAAAUCCCUCCUCACUUUGGUAUCAACUCCUCAACUAGGGAAGAUCAAAAUUACAUGCGACAAUUUCGAGAUGAAAUGGCAAAUCAACUAUUUCAGGUAUCUUAUUAGUUUUUUUUCUUUUUUAUAUUAUAUACGAUAAAAUUUGAAAUUUAUGGUAUUUUAUAUAUUAAAAUUCCAAAAUCAUUAUGUAUUCACUUGAAUAUAAUUUUACUUAUAAAUGUUAAAAUAUUGUGGUAUUUAAUAUAUUAUUUAUUUGACAUUCAAAUUUAAUAAGGAUACAAAUGUAAAAGUACAUACUUUUCAGUUUUUUAAGUUGAAAAAAACAAACAACUUAAUAAUUAUUUUUCGAGAUUCAGACGAAAAAACAAACAUAUUAUUCAGAUUCAGACAUUCAGAUCUAUUCAGAAUUCAGACUAAUUCAGGUCUAUUCAGAUUUCAGACAAAAAGACAAACGCCACCUAAGACUCAUACACACGUGUCAAGGAGCGGUAUGAUCUGGGUUGUUAAAGCUGUUACAAGACUGGUAUAUAAGCUGCAGCCUUCUGGAUUUGGAGGCAUCGAGUGUGGAGAUUGAGGGAACUCAUUAGAGAAAAGUGUUUUACUUGUUCUUGUUCUUAGAAUCUCUGUAACCUACUUCUUGAAUCAUUCAAUAAAGCUGCCUUAGGAAUUCACUCGUGGAUGUAAGCCUUUAAUGGCUGAACCACGUUAAAGACUUGUGCUCUGUUCAUUGUGAUUGUUUUCUUGCUGAGUUUGGUUUCUGUGUUUGUAAUUACUUCAUUGUUAUUACAAGUCUAGUUAGGUUAAUUGGUUCUCUAACUCUGAUCAUCGUUUGAUAAGCAUCUUGAUUAAUCUUGGCUGAGAAUCUUGGGAGGAUCUGGUUCUUCAUUGUGUAAAGUCAACGAACCAGAUUCAACACGAAGUGUAAUAACGACAUUAUUAAUAACCAGAAAAAGAGGGGAGGAGUUAAUACUUUUAAUAUUUUCGAAUUUAACGCUUGUUACAAAUGAACCAACCGCAGCGAGUCCUGUAAAUUUUCCCUUUAAAUAAAUUCAAUUGUCUUUACCAAAUUUUGACAUCUACAAGUGAUUUUAGGGAGUCGUUUUCUACAGAGGGUUGAGAUUUAAAGGGAUUUCUGAAGUGAUGUGAACAAGAGACUCUUUUCCCCAAAGUGAAAUGCUGCUAUGAGUGGAGUUGACUUGCACCUUAGAUUGCCAAAUUUCUAAGAGAAGUGAAUGGAAUUGACCAAAAGACUGCCUGUACCCGUAAUAAAAUUUGUUUGUUGUCUGCAUUUGUUGAUUACGGUUCCUAGAUUUGGUGUCUAUUUAGCCAUUUAUUGACACUGAGAUUCAACCAAGCAAAUCAAGUUAAAAGAUCCAGACAACUUCACCGUUUGGUGCAUUCUUAAAGUUGCAAAAUACAUUAGGAUAUGCAGAUAUAUUUAUAGGACAGCAAACGGGCUUGUAAACAGCCAAGUCUUUGUACUGGGGCUAUCAUAUUUUAAAAGCACAUGGACAAAACUUUAAUACACUGAAGUAUUGUGAGUUAAAUAUAAUUACGAUUAGCAUUCAGGGAUAUCUGUUUAUUUUCCGAAAUUCAGAGGGGGUAAAUGCAUUUGAGGGUUAAACAUGCUGAGAUCAAGCUGUGUUUUCGCCAAACUUCUGAGGCAUCCUAAAAGACACAAAAGACAAGCCCCCAUCCUCAUUUUUCCUCCCUCCCCAUAAAGGUAGAAAGUGCACAUUAAUGCAAGGUGAAAACACAAUCUGAUUGCAUAUUGAUCCGAACUUUUGCUACUUAUAACGUUAAUCAUUUAAUACAACAAAACAUUAGAAUGUUAACGGGUGACUAUCUCAUGCCACUCAUGUUUACAUCAGAAGUUGUUCACUCAGUAUACAGCAAGAGAAUGGACGUGGAAUAAGAGGGAUCACCUGACUGAAAUUUGCCAUUCCGUGAAUUCUAUGAUGGUUAAAGGCUCACUGAUGGCCACUCUCAUUCUCCUGCUCCAUCUCCUCUGCAUCCUCAAAGCGUUGAUCAUUAAUUUGAAGCUGCAGGCAAUUUAAAUAAUGGUAUCAAUGAGGAAGGCAUAGUUAAGGUCUAAUAUAAAUUUCCAGGCAAAUUCAAUUGGCUGCAUAGGUAAUAGAUUAUGGGGUGAAAAUCGGUGAUGAAUUGGAAUUCAAACAACAAGAAAAAUGGAUGUGUUGAGGCAUACCUGAAGCACAUUAUUAGCUAGGUCAUUAUCACCAUUUGAAUGAUCAAUUGGGUUUGUUGGAUCCUGAAAAAAAUGCCACCCAGGAUCUUCCCCUAACGGACAUACCAAUUAUUGAAGAACAAAACAUUUGUAAGAAUAACAGGAAGGGACGUAAUAUUUCAAAAGGGAAUGGAAUCAUGUUUGUCCCUCCAUACCUGUACCCUCGUUUUCCAGCUGGUCAGCACUAAAAACCCAAUUGUGCCCUUCUUCUUCCUCUGAUGAAGGCAUAUGAAGAUGCAGAAAUUAGUAUUCGACUAAUGAACAUACAUAAUAAAUAAAUUUGCUACUCGACCAUUGUAAUAUUUAUAUGAGAGUAAACUCAUCUUCUAUAGGUUCAGGAUUGAGCUCGGCACACUCGCAAAAAAUCUCAAACAGAUUAUCCACUACCACACACUUAGGGGUGGGCAUAAACCCACAACCCAUGGGUUUACCCAAACUCAAACUAAAUUAAAUGGUUUGGGUUGGGUAAAUCAUGAAAAUGAGUUAAAUGUGGGUUUUAUAUAGAAAACCAUUUCAUUAUGGGUUGGGUAUGGUUUACCCAUGGGUCAUGAAUAAAACCCCAACACUCAAAUUUUUCAAAUGAAAUAAAUGAAAACAAAAUAAAUGAACACAAAUAGGUAAAAUAUUUUAUUAUUUAUCUUAUAAUAAAUUUUUAUUUGUCAUUCAAGUUUUCUUAUAAUAAUUUUUUUAUCAUUUUACUAAUAUUUUUCUUAUAUAUUUAUUAUAAGAAAAUUUUCACAAAAUAAAUAAGUAUAAAAAAAUUUUAUUAUUAAUUUUUUUGUUCAUAUCAAAACAUAUAUUUCUUAUUUUUAAUGCUUUAUUUUUUAUUUAGUUUCUAUUCAUGUGAUUAAGUAUAAAAAAAUUUUAUUAUUAAUUUUUUUGUUCAUAUCAAAACAUAUCUUUCUUAUUUUUAAUGCUUUAUUUUUUAUUUAGUUUCUAUUCAUGUGAUUUAUUUAAUUUAUAAUAAAUAUAAAUAAAAGAGUAGUUGAAAAUAAGGGUAAUAUUGUAAACUUAUGCUAUUAGAGGGGUUUUUGGCCAUUAUAAAAACAUAAGGGGGAAAAAUGAUAUAUGUUGAUUACUGUAGGGGGAAAAUGGCAAUCUCCCUAAAUUUAAGCAUAUAAGUAGACAACAUAACGCAAAACUACCAAAACGAUAAAUAAAAUCAAAUAUUGCAUAAUUAAAUAAAUAAUAAGUGGCAAAAUUUAUUAUUAGAUUGUUAAUGUCAUGUUUGUGAAAAUUUAUUAUUAAAGUGUACGUUCUUAUUUAUUGAGAAAUAAUAAUUUUUGUGUGUUAAACUUUAUUUUGAUUUUCUAGUAUUCUUUAAUUUAAGGAUUAAGUUAUUGUAAAAUUUAUAAUUUUUAUCCACUAUAUUUUUUUAUAUUUUAAUAUCAAUUUAAUAAUUAAUAACAAUUAAUAAUUAUUAUAAUUUUGAUAUAAUUAAAUUUUAUUAAAAUAAAAAUUAUUUUGAUAAUAAAAUUCAAACCAAACCCAAACUAAACCCAAAUGGUUUGGUUUGGGUUGGGUUAAAAAUAUUUGGGUUGGUUUGGGUUGGAUCUAAAUUUUUAUGGUUUGGUUUGGGUUGACUUAAAAUCCAACCCAAACUAACCCAUGCCCACCCCUACACACACCAAUGAAGACGAUGGUCUAUGGUUAAUACUCUGCAUUAAACAGCAAGCAAGAUACAUCCUGAAAACAUAGAGAUAGCAGCAUAAAAGACUACAAAAAGAAUUCAUCUGUCACAGACAAGAUUGAAAAAUUAUGUCCUUUAGCUAUUAACAACGAAUUGUCCUCCUUUUUAUUGAAACAAAUCCAUUGCUUCCACUUCAUUUGUUUGACAGGCUUCACUCUCCUCCGCAAUUGUCAAACAUGUUAUCAAAACUUAUCCAUAGUUUUGUUGGUCUGUCCUUUGAAUUCAACGAGCAUACAAUCACCAGCUGCGGAGUGAUACCAAUUCUUUUGGCAGCAACAUUUGCCAUUUCUUGCUAUGCAUGGUUCAUUAAGAAACCAACUAGAAGCUCACCACCACUGCCACCAGGUCCGCGAGCCCUGCCCUUAGCUGGAAACAUUCUUUCUGUUGAACCAAAUUUGCAUCUUUACUUUGCCAAAUUGUCCCAAAUUUACGGUCCAGUCUUCAAACUUUAUCUGGGUAGAAAAUUUUCUGCAAAGAUUUUCGAGUCAUUAUUGAGACCUGGUCAGAGUGGACAGGACAGGAAUGAGGGGAAGUCGAGCAAAGAUUUUCUGCAAACCUUGUUGGAGCUUCAGCAGCAAGGAGAUUAUUCCUUAUCCAUGGACCAAAUUAAGGCCUUGUUUAUGGUAAAAAUCUUAUCAACUUGCUUUGAACUAUUUUAAGCGUUUUCAUUUUUUGAAUUUGAAUUGAAUUGUCAACACUCAACAGGAUCUUGUUAUUGGAAGUACGGAUACAACAUCAAUCACUGUAGAGUGGGCGAUGUCAGAGCUGCUGCAGAAACCAGAGGUUAUGAGAAAAGCCUGCAACGAACUGGGGCAAGUGGUGGCACUUGACAGUGUUGUGGAAGAGUUUCAUCUUGCCAAAUUGCCUUUCUUAGAAGCAAAUGUAAAAGAGACAUUGCGAUUGCAUCCACCCGCGCCGCUUCUAACCUCGCGAAGGCCUAGUGCAACAAGCAACUUGUCUGGGUAUACAAUUCCCAAGGGCUCAACAAUUUUCAUCAAUGCGUGGGCGAUACAGAGGAAUCCUGAGGUAUGGGAAAAUCCUCAAGAUUUUCAACCUGAUAGGUUCUUGAAAGAUGUCAAAAUAGGUGAUUUUCGAGGAAACAAUUUCAAUUAUCUUCCAUUUGGUUCCGGAAGGAGGAUUUGUCUUGCAAUUCCUCUAGCAGAGAAGAUUGUCCCUUAUGUAUUAGCCAACCUAUUGCAUCUUUUUGAGUGGAGUUUGCCUGAGGGAUGUUAUGAAAAAUUUUAAUAUACCCGCAAGCACACGAAUCUAUAAAUAAAAUAGUGGUAACGAGAUCGAACUUAUAGAGAUUGUUAUAAAUUGAAAAGUCUAAUUUAAAUUUAAAAUUAAUAUUAAUCCUAACCUAGUUGAGCAAAUUGAGUUUUUAAGGGAAAUAAAAUUAAUUAAAAUAAGAAAACAAUAAAAUAAAGGAGAAUUCAAUAAGAUAAAAAUGACUAAGGUUUCAAAAUCCACCACUGUUCAACUAGUAAUUAUCUAAUUAUUAAUUAAUCCCCAAUUUUAGAGUAACAACUCGAAAUCAUUAUAUGUCAUCUCAUGGAUAUAACAAUUAAGCCCAAUUAAAAUUAAUCUUGUGUAGGUUCUUUUUCUACUUAAUAGUAUGAUAUCUAAACAUCUCAUGUAAACAUAUUGAAUAACAAAGAGUCAAAACUUCAUAAGCACUCUCUUAGAAUAAUUUAAUGAAAGAUACGGAAUCAAAGAUAAUUUUAUAUAGACUUCAUAGAUCCAAGCAUAGAUUUAAUCAACUAUUAAUCUUAGCGAACAAUAAUGCAUGACAGAAUUGGUGAAAAUAUUUAAUAACAUCCAAUUAAUCAUGUGAAAUAAGAACAAAAAAUAUUAAAGCAUGCAUAUAAGGGAUUAAUUAAAUAAAAAGAUAAUUAUUUCAUUAAAUAUAGUUUCAUCCUUAACCUCGGUAUAAGGAAAUUAAGUAGACGUACUUGAAUUGGAAGCAACAAAAUAAAUAAAACCAACCAUGGAAAUUGAAUUGUUGCUACCAGUUUUCUUCUCUGCCUUGCGAUUGCGUGUUCUUGCUC
rnacentral:lncRNA from 1 species